GACGGGGUGGACGUUCUCCUCCUUUUCUGUUGUGUCCCCAUUGGAUGCCAAUCCCGUCCAACCUAAUGGUGUGGAUUGUGGCAUUUUUGUCAUAAGACACAUGCAAUAUUAUCGUCAAUUGUGGCAUGACCGGUACGACUCUAAUGUACAACGAAUGCGACUUGCUAUUGAGUUGCUCCGAAAU